rnacentral:rRNA from 1 species
GAUGAACGCUGGCGGCGUGCCUAACACACGCAAGUCGAACGCUGAAGCUUGGUGCUUGCACUGGGUGGAUUAGCGGCGAACGGGUGAGUAAUACGUGAGUAACCUGCCCUUGAUUCUGGGAUAAGCCUGGGAAACAGGGUCUAAUACUGGCUAUGACAUGCUACUGCUUGGUGGUGUGUGGAAAGGGUUGUUGUGGUAUUGGAUGGGCUCACGGCCUAUUAGCUUGUUGGUGGGGUAAUGGCCUACCAAGGCGACGACUGAUAGCCGGCCUGAGAGGGUGAACAGCGACAAGAGGACUGAGGGACGGAGCAGACGGGAACGGUGGGCAACGGGCGGGAGUAUUGCACAAUGGGCGCGAGUGUGUGAAGAAGGCGCUGGGUUAGGAAAGACCGCCUUUUGGGUAUGAACAUCUUUCAGCACAGAAGAAGCGAGAGUGACGGUACGUGAAGAAUAAGCGCCGGCUAACUACGUG